rnacentral:rRNA from 1 species
CGGCCGCGUCGACCGCGAGGUAUUACCACAGUGUGAAUACAUAGCACUGUUGGAGGACACCUGGAGAACUGAAACAUCUUAGUAUCCAGAGGAAGAGAAAGAAAAAUCGAUUCCCUAAGUAGCGGCGAGCGAACGGGGAAGAGCCCAAACCAGCUUCGGCUGGGGUUGUAGGACGUUCACAACGGAUUUAAAGACUUAGACGAAUGGUCUGGGAAGGCCAACCGCAGGGGGUAAGAGUCCCGUAGUUAAAAAGUCGAUAAAUUUAGAACGUAUCCUGAGUACGGCGGAACACGAGGAAUUCCGUCGGAAUCCGGGAGGACCAUCUCCCAAGGCUAAAUACUCCUUGCUAACCGAUAGUGAACCAGUACCGUGAGGGAAAGGUGAAAAGCACCCGGAAGGGGAGUGAAAUAGAUCCUGAAACCAUGCGCU